UACGUAGGGUGCAAGCGUUGUCCGGAAUUAUUGGGCGUAAAGGGCUCGUAGGCGGUUUGUUGCGUCGGGAGUGAAAACUUACAGCUUAACUGUGAGCGUGCUUCCGAUACGGGCAGACUUGAGGUAUUCAGGGGAGAACGGAAUUCCUGGUGUAGCGGUGAAAUGCGCAGAUAUCAGGAGGAACACCGGUGGCGAAGGCGGUUCUCUGGGAAUAUCCUGACGCUGAGGAGCGAAAGUGUGGGGAGCGAACAGG
rnacentral:rRNA from 1 species